rnacentral:lncRNA from 1 species
AGAACUUCUCACCUUGCAACAUGCGCCAUACAGUGAUCUGCACACGAGAUGCUCUUGUUAAGGCACACCUUUGACUGAACAGGCGUACCAAUCUAAAUUUCGUGAAGUAUUUUGCCAGUUGAAGUUAAAAUAAAACUGCCUAAAUAAAGCACCAUAUAUUAUCUUACUUCUUACUAUUACUAGCCCCAGUAGAGACACUAUAUUAGUUCUCCCUAGACGCUUGAAAAAAAAUCCCAGAAAGUCUCACAAUAAUAAAAAAACAUCUAGACUUUAAUUUAGUAAACUCUAAUUAUCAUCUCUGACAAUAGCCAUUAGAUCUAAUUUAAUUUAUAAAAAAUUACCCAUCUCUACCACUAUGAAAAAAUACUUAAAGUAACCUUCUAAUCUUGCAUAUAAAUUACCCACCUCUGCCAUUACAAAAGGUAAUUUAAAAUAACCCACUAAAUUUGUAUCUAAAUUACCCAUUUUAUCAUUACUAAAAGUAAUUAAAAAUAACCCCUCACAUCGCACAUAAAUUACCCACC